AGACCCGAAACCCGGUGAUCUAGCCAUGGGCAGGUUGAAGGUUGGGUAACACUAACUGGAGGACCGAACCGACUAAUGUUGAAAAAUUAGCGGAUGACCUGUGGCUGGGGGUGAAAGGCCAAUCAAACCGGGAGAUAGCUGGUUCUCCCCGAAAGCUAUUUAGGUAGCGCCUCGUGAAUUCAUCUCCGGGGGUAGAGCACUGUUUCGGCUAGGGGGCCAUCCCGGCUUACCAACCCGAUGCAAACUGCGAAUACCGGAGAAUGUUAUCACGGGAGACACACGGCGGGUGCUAACGUCCGUCGUGAAGAGGGAAACAACCCAGACCGCCAGCUAAGGUCCCAAAGUCAUGGUUAAGUGGGAAACGAUGUGGGAAGGCCCAGACAGCCAGGAUGUUGGCUUAGAAGCAGCCAUCAUUUAAAGAAAGCGUAAUAGCUCACUGGUCGAGUCGGCCUGCGCGGAAGAUGUAACGGGGCUAAACCAUGCACCGAAGCUGCGGCAGCGACACUCAGGUGUCGUUGGGUAGGGGAGCGUUCUGUAAGCCUGCGAAGGUGGCCUGUGAGGGUUGCUGGAGGUAUCAGAAGUGCGAAUGCUGACAUAAGUAACGAUAAAGCGGGUGAAAAGCCCGCUCGCCGGAAGACCAAGGGUUCCUGUCCAACGUUAAUCGGGGCAGGGUGAGUCGACCCCUAAGGCGAGGCCGAAAGGCGUAGUCGAUGGGAAACGGGUUAAUAUUCCCGUACUUGGUGUUACUGCGAAGGGGGGACGGAGAAGGCUAUGUUGGCCGGGCGACGGUUGUCCCGGUUUAAGCGUGUAGGUGUGUGUUCCAGGUAAAUCCGGUUCACUUUAACACUGAGGCGUGACGACGAGGCACUACGGUGCUGAA
rnacentral:rRNA from 1 species